rnacentral:rRNA from 1 species
AUUGAACGCUGGCGGCAUGCUUUACACAUGCAAGUCGAACGGUAACAGGCCGCAAGGUGCUGACGAGUGGCGAACGGGUGAGUAAUGCAUCGGAACGUGCCCAGUCGUGGGGGAUAACUACUCGAAAGAGUAGCUAAUACCGCAUACGAUCUAUGGAUGAAAGCGGGGGACCGUAAGGCCUCGCGCGAUUGGAGCGGCCGAUGUCAGAUUAGGUAGUUGGUGGGGUAAAGGCUCACCAAGCCAACGAUCUGUAGCUGGUCUGAGAGGACGACCAGCCACACUGGGACUGAGACACGGCCCAGACUCCUACGGGAGGCAGCAGUGGGGAAUUUUGGACAAAGGGCGCAAGCCUGAUCCAGCAAUGCCGCGUGCAGGAAGAAGGCCUUCGGGUUGUAAACCGCUUUUGUACGGAACGAAACGGCUCUGGUUAAUACCCGGGGCUAAUGACGGUACCGUAAGAAUAAGCACCGGCUAACUACGUG